rnacentral:rRNA from 1 species
CUAGCUUGCUAGGUGGAUUAGUGGCGCACGGGUGAGUAACGCAUAGAUAACAUGCCCUUUAGUUUGGGAUAGCCACUAGAAAUGGUGAUUAAUACCAAAUACUACCCUAUGGGGGAAAGAUUUAUCGCUAAAGGAUUGGUCUAUGUCCUAUCAGCUUGUUGGUGAGGUAAAGGCUCACCAAGGCGAUGACGGGUAUCCGGCCUGAGAGGGUGAACGGACACACUGGAACUGAGACACGGUCCAGACUCCUACGGGAGGCAGCAGUAGGGAAUAUUGCUCAAUGGGCGCAAGCCUGAAGCAGCAACGCCGCGUGGAGGAUGAAGGUUUUAGGAUUGUAAACUCCUUUUGUCAGAGAAGAUCAUGACGGUAUCUCACGAAUAAGCAC